AACGUAGGAGGCGUGCGUUAUCCGGAUUUACUGGGCGUAAAGCGCGGGUAGGCGGCGAUCUAAGUCAUGCGUUAAAGCUCCCUGGCUCAACCGGGAGAGGUCGUGUGAGACUGGAUGGCUAGAGGCAGGUAGAGGCUGACGGAAUUCCGGGUGGAGUGGUGAAAUGCGUAGAGAUCCGGAGGAACACCAGUGGCGAAGGCGGUCAGCUGGGCCUAGCCUGACGCUCAGACGCGAAAGCAUGGGGAGCGAACGGG
rnacentral:misc_RNA from 1 species